GAUGAACGCUGGCGGCGUGCUUAACACAUGCAAGUCGAACGGGAAACCUUUUAUUGAAGCUUCGGCAGAUUUAGCUGGUUUCUAGUGGCGGACGGGUGAGUAACGCGUGGGUAACCUGCCUUAUACAGGGGGAUAACAACCAGAAAUGGUUGCUAAUACCGCAUAAGCGCACAGGACCGCAUGGUCCGGUGUGAAAAACUCCGGUGGUAUAAGAUGGACCCGCGUUGGAUUAGCUAGUUGGCAGGGUAACGGCCUACCAAGGCGACGAUCCAUAGCCGGCCCGAGAGGGUGAACGGCCACAUUGGGACUGAGACACGGCCCAGACUCCUACGGGAGGCAGCAGUGGGGAAUAUUGCACAAUGGGGGAAACCCUGAUGCAGCGACGCCGCGUGAAGGAAGAAGUAUCUCGGUAUGUAAACUUCUAUCAGCAGGGAAGAUAGUGACGGUACCUGACUAAGAAGCCCCGGCUAACUACGUG
rnacentral:rRNA from 1 species